AAUGGACGUUGGCGGCGUGGAUUAGGCAUGCAAGUCGCGCGAGAAACGUAGCAAUACGUGGAAAGCGGCGUAAGGGAGAGUAAUGCAUGGUUAGCUACCCCCGGGACUGGGAUAGCGGCGGGAAACUGCCGGUAAUACCAGAUGAUGUCUUCGGACCAAACGUGUAAAUCGGCCCGGGGAGGUGACCAUGUCCUAUCAGCUUGUUGGCGGGGUAACGGCCCACCAAGGCAAAGACGGGUAUGGGGCGUGAGAGCGUGCCCCCACUCACUGGGACUGAGACACUGCCCAGACACCUACGGGUGGCUGCAGUCGAGAAUCUUCGGCAAUGGGCGCAAGCCUGACCGAGCGACGCCGCGUGCGGGAUGAAGGCCUUCGGGUUGUAAACCGCUGUCGUAGGGGAGGAAGGUCUGGUGUAUAGCCAGGCUUGACCGAUCCUAGGAGGAAGGGCCGGCUAAUCUCGCGCCAGCAGCCGCCGUAAGAC
rnacentral:rRNA from 1 species